UGCCUCAGUAACGGCGAGUGAAGCGGCAACAGCUCAAAUUUGAAAUCUGGCCUCUUCGGGGUCCGAGUUGUAAUUUGUAGAGGGUGUUUCGGGCGCGAUGCCGGUCUAAGUUCUUUGGAACAGGACGUCGUAGAGGGUGAGAAUCCCGUAUGCGACCGGCGAUCAAGCCUGUGUGAAGCCCCUUCGACGAGUCGAGUUGUUUGGGAAUGCAGCUCAAAAUGGGUGGUAAAUUUCAUCUAAAGCUAAAUAUUGGCCAGAGACCGAUAGCGGACAAGUAGAGUGAUCGAAAGAUGAAAAGCACUUUGGAAAGAGAGUCAAACAGUACGUGAAAUUGUUGAAAGGGAAGCGCUUGCAAUCAGACCGGUCCGGAGGCGAUCAGCCGCUGCUCGUCAGCGGUGCACUCGCCUGCGAUCCGGCCAGCAUCGGUUUGGGCGGCGGGAGAAAAGGCCGGGGAAUGUAGCUUCUUUCGGGGAGUCUUAUAGCCCGGGUCGCAAUGCCGCCCGCCCGGACCGAGGACCGCGCUUCGGCUAGGAUGCUGGCGUAAUGGUUGCAAGCGACCCGUCUUGAAACACGGACCAAGGAGUCUAACAUCUAUGCGAGUGUUUGGGUGUCAAACCCAGGCGCGGAAUGAAAGUGAACGGAGGUGGGAACCCGUCAGACGGCGCACCAUCGACCGAUCCAGAUGUCUUCGGAUGGAUUUGAGUAUGAGCAUAGCUGUUGGGACCCGAAAGAUGGUGAACUAUGCCCGGAUAGGGUGAAGCCAGAGGAAACUCUGGUGGAGGCUCGCAGCGGUUCUGACGUGCAAAUCGAUCGUCAAAUCUAGGCAUAGGGGCGAAAGACCAAUCGAACCAUCUAGUAGCUGGUUCCUGUCGAAGUUUCCCUCAGGAUAGCAGUAACGUUUUCAGUUUUAUGAGGUAAAGCGAAUGAUUAGAGGCCUUGGGGCUGAAACAGCCUUAACCUAUUCUCAAACUUUAAAUAUGUAAGAAGUCCUUGUUACUUAGUUGAACGUGGACAUUUGAAUGCACCGUUACUAGUGGGCCAUUUUUGGUAAGCAGAACGGCGAUGCGGGAUGAACCGAACGCGAGGUUAAGGUGCCGGAAUGCACGCUCAUCAGACACCACAAAAAGUGUCAAUUCAUCCAGACAGCCGGACGGUGGCCAUGGAAGUCGGAAUCCGCUAAGGAGUGUGUAACAACUCACCGGCCGAAUGAAUUGGCCUUGAAAAUGGAUGGCGCUCAAGCGUGCUACCCAUACCUCGCCGCCAGGGUAGAAACGAUGCCCUGGCGAGUAGGCAGGCGUGGAGGUCCGUGACGAAGCC
rnacentral:rRNA from 1 species